rnacentral:misc_RNA from 1 species
GUAAUUAUUAUGUUUUUUCAGACGCUGAUUUCAAUUGCAAGGGUUUAAAUUGUCAACGGCGGGCGGACCCGCCGAAGAAACGUAAGUACUUAAAAGACAUGGGUAAGAGAUAGCAGGCAAAGCCUACAACUCUAGGUAAUGAUCCUUCCGCAGGUUCACCUACGGAAA